CGAAGUGGGACUGUUCUUAAUGUUUCCUCUGAAUAGUGUGGGGGUGCCUCAGUUUCCCCUAGGCAGUUCUUAAGUAUCUAGGGGGUGGAGUAAGGGUGUCUGAUCAUUGCAGAGCCCUAGAGGGCAUGUGUGUGCAGGAGUCUGGACACAGAGAAUGGCCGACACCCUGUUUCCUGGCAACUGAUGGCCUGGGCCCUUCCCCCCCCCCCC